rnacentral:rRNA from 1 species
ACGAACGCUGGCGGCGUGCCUAAUACAUGCAAGUCGCGCGAAGUUUUUCUGGUGCUUGCACCGGAAAAACUUAGCGGCGAACGGGUGAGUAACACGUAAAGAACCUGCCUCAUAGACUGGGACAACUAUUGGAAACGAUAGCUAAUACCGGAUAAUAGCAUUAACUGCAUGGUUGAUGUUUAAAAGUUGGUUUUGCUAACACUAUGAGAUGGCUUUGCGGUGCAUUAGCUAGUUGGUGGGGUAAAGGCCUAUCAAGGCGACGAUGCAUAGCCGACCUGAGAGGGUGAUCGGCCACACUGGGACUGAGACACGGCCCAGACUCCUACGGGAGGCAGCAGUAGGGAAUCUUCCGCAAUGGGCGAAAGCCUGACGGAGCAACGCCGCGUGAGUGAAGAAGGAUUUCGGUUCGUAAAGCUCUGUUGUUAGGGAAGAAUGAUUGUGUAGUAACUAUACACAGUAGAGACGGUACCUAACCAGAAAGCCACGGCUAACUACGUG